GACGAACGCUGGCGGCGUGCCUAAUACAUGCAAGUUGAGCGCUGAGGGGUGGUACUUGUUCCUACUGGAUGAGCGGCGGACGGGUGAGUAACGCGUGGGGAAUCUGCCUUUGAGCGGGGGACAACAUUUGGAAACGAAUGCUAAUACCGCAUAAAAACUUUAAACACAAGUUUUAAGAGUGAAAGAUGCAAUUGCAUCAAUCAAAGAAGAUACCGCGUUGUAUUAGGUAGUUGGUGAGGGAAAGGGUCAACAAGGCGAUCGUACAUAGCCGACCCGAGAGGGUGAACGGCCCCCUCUGGACUGAGACAACGCCCCAACCCCUACCGGAAGCAGCAAGAGGGAAUCUUUGGCCAUUGGCCGAAAGCUUACCGAAGCACCCCGCGUUAGUGAAUAAGGUUUUCGGAUCGGUAAACUCCGGUGGUAGGGAAGAACCUUAGUGAUAGUGGAAAGCUCAUCAAUUGACGGUAACUACCCAGAAAGCGACGGCUAACUACGUG
rnacentral:rRNA from 1 species